UGAACACUACGGUGAAACAGUUUUACAAACACAAUAGAUACAGUGUGAGUGAAAAAGGAACACAAUUAGCACCACACAAGAUCCAUUUUUCAAUAGCGGAUAAUAUUGAGAAAUAAAAAAAGGUUAACGUUUCGUCAGAACAAAAGUGUAUUCCUGACGAUAUUAUGUAAAGGAAGAUAAACGCAUAGACUUGCGGGCUGAUCCCGUGGGAUUGAGUGGGAAACUAGUACCCUCCACGUGUCGUGACGAGAAUGCCAGUUACGCAAGCUUGGGUCUAGGCGGUUCCAACAGGAAGUAGCAUUAAAGGAGAACGAGGCUUUGAAUAUGGCAGUCUUAUGCUGAGGAGUGAGGAGCAGGUAUGAAGAGGCUCUCGUACGGUACAUAUUGAAGUCACGGGACCACCUUAGUUUAUCAUAAAGGUAUUCAGGUAUGUGUCUAUGUACUAUGCCAAACAACAAACAUGCAAAAUGUAGGUACCGUCGGCUUGCUAUUUUUAACAAUCCACUGUUAUUUAUGAAGGGAGUGACGUGUGCCCGGGGGGGGAUGUCGUGACAGAAUCGAGCGCAAGCAUUUUGUACCCGCUGUAGCAGACGUUGUGUUUUCGCAUAAAGGCAAGGUCCAUAUACCGUAUCUGCAUAAU